AUUGAACGCUGGCGGAAUGCUUUACACAUGCCAGUCGAGCGGCAGCACGGGGGCAACCCUGGUGGCGAGCGGCGAACGGGUGAGUAAUACAUCGGAACAUGCCCAGUCGUGGGGGAUAACACUUCGAAAGAAGUGCUAAUACCGCAUACGUCCUGAGGGGGAAAGCGGGGGAUCGCAAGACCUCGCGCGAUUGGAGUGGCCGAUGUCAGAUUAGCUAGUUGGUGGGGUAAAGGCCUACCAAGGCAACGAUCUGUAGCUGGUCUGAGAGGAUGAUCAGCCACACUGGGACUGAGACACGGCCCAGACUCCUACGGGAGGCAGCAGUGGGGAAUUUUGGACAAUGGGGGCAACCCUGAUCCAGCCAUUCCGCGUGAGUGAAGAAGGCCUUCGGGUUGUAAAGCUCUUUCGGCAGGAACGAAACGGUGAGCUCUAACAUAGCUUGCUAAUGACGGUACCUGAAGAAGAAGCACCGGCUAACUACG
rnacentral:rRNA from 1 species